UUUAUAUGAUGAGUUGCUUUUGGUCCGUGUUUCUGAUGUACCAAUGAUUAUUACAUUCAAAAGCACUGAUUAA